UACGGAGGGGGCUAGCGUUGUUCGGAAUUACUGGGCGUAAAGCGCACGUAGGCGGAUACUUAAGUCAGGGGUGAAAUCCCGGGGCUCAACCCCGGAACUGCCUUUGAUACUGGGUAUCUCGAGUUCGAGAGAGGUGAGUGGAAUUCCGAGUGUAGAGGUGAAAUUCGUAGAUAUUCGGAGGAACACCAGUGGCGAAGGCGGCUCACUGGCUCGAUACUGACGCUGAGGUGCGAAAGCGUGGGGAGCAAACAGG
rnacentral:rRNA from 1 species